GGGCACGAGACCGAGGAGCAGCGCAACAAGUUCCUCGUGCUCCGCCUCUACGAGGCGCUCAACGGCCGCGACCACGCCGCCGUCCACUCCCUCCUCGCCCCCGACCUCGAGUGGUGGUUCCAUGGCCCGCCCGCGCACCAGCACAUGAUGCGCCUCCUCACCGGCUCCAGCUCCCCGUCCUCCUCCUCCUCCUUCCGCUUCGAGCCGCGCUCCGUGGACGCCUUCGGCUCCACCGUCAUCGCCGAGGGCGUCUCGGCCGCCGGCGAGGACACCAAGGCGGCGUACUGGGUGCACGCGUGGACCGUGGGCUCCGAUGGGGUGAUCACCCAGCUCCGCGAGUACUUCAACACCGACCUCACCGUCACCCGCCUCGCCGCCGCCGCCGCGUCCAAGUGCGUCUGGCAGAGCCGCCGCCCCGACCGCGCCCGCAACUCCCUCCCCGGCCUCGUCCUCGCCCUCUAG
rnacentral:rRNA from 1 species